rnacentral:rRNA from 1 species
AGAGUUUGAUCCUGGCUCAGGAUGAAUGCUGGCGGCAUGCCUAAUACAUGCAAGUCGAGCGGUAGCAUGGCUUCACCGUUUCCUUGACACACUUGGCCUUAUGCGAGUGGAAAGAUUCGAGGGAACCGUGAAGCUGAUGACGAGCGGCGGACGGCUGAGUAACGCGUGAGAACAUACCCCAAAGUGAGGGAUAACUAGUCGAAAGAUUAGCUAAUACCGCAUGUGAUCUUUGGAUUAAAGCAUUUAUGCGCUUUGGGAAUGGCUUGCGUACGAUUAGAUAGUUGGUGAGGUAAAGGCUCACCAAGUCGACGAUCGUUAGAUGGUUUGAGAGGAUGAUCAUCCAGACUGGGACUGAGACACGGCCCAGACUCCUACGGGAGGCAGCAGUAGGGAAUCUUUCACAAUGGGCGAAAGCCUGAUGGAGCAACGCCGCGUGCAGGAUGAAGGCCUUCGGGUUGUAAACUGCUUUUAUAAGUGAGGAUUAUGACAGUAACUUAUGAAUAAGGAUCGGCUAACUACGUGCCAGCAGCCGCGGUCAUACGUAGGAUCCGAGCAUUAUCCGGAGUGACUGGGUGUAAAGAGUUGCGUAGGUGGCAAGGUAAGUAGAUAGUGAAAUCUGGUGGCUCAACCAUUCAGACUAUUAUCUAAACUAUCUAGCUCGAGACUGUUAUGGGUAACUGGAAUUUCUAGUGUAGGAGUGAAAUCCGUAGAUAUUAGAAGGAACACCGAUAGCGUAGGCAGGUUACUGGGACAGUUCUGACACUAAGGCACGAAAGCGUAGGGAGCAAACGGGAUUAGAUACCCCGGUAGUCUACGCCGUAAACGAUGGAUACUAGCAGUUUUGGGUAUCGACCCCCGGAGUUGCGAAGCUAACGCGUUAAGUAUCCCACCUGUGUAGUACGAUCGCAAGAUUAAAACAUAAAGGAAUUGACGGGGACCCGCACAAGCGGUGGAUCAUGUUCUUUAAUUCGAUGAUAACCGAUAAACCUUACCAGGUCUUGACAUCCUUGGAAUCUUUCAGAAAUGAGAGAGUGCUUUUUAAGAGCCAAGUGACAGGUGAUGCAUGGCCGUCGUCAGCUCGUGUCGUGAGAUGUUUGGUUAAGUCCAUCAACGAGCGCAACCCUUGUCAGUAGUUGUAUUUUUCUACUGAGACUGCCCCGGUAACGGGGAGGAAGGAGGGGAUGAUGUCAGGUCAGUAUUUCCC